GGUGUCUGGCUGGUGCCUGGGUGAACCUGAAGGAGCUGAGUUGAGAUUACUGCUCUGCUCCACAUUUUCUCAUUCUAGCAGGGAAGCCUAUGCAGAUUCUCAUAGUGGAGGAAAAGAAAGAGGCAGCAUGCAUCUACUUUUCUGAGUCUCUGCCUGGGUCCAGUUUGUUCCUGUCCUAUUGACAAAGAAAGUCACAUGGCAAGCAGAGUCAUUAUGAGUUCAAAUGCUACGAUUACUAUAAAUAUCUAUACUUCAAGUUUUACAGGUUAAUAAUUCUGAGAUAUGUUUCAUAAGCUUCCUUAGAGAGUCUGGCAGGAUGGAACACCAUUUGCCUAUAGUGGUGGCCGAUCUAUUAAUGUUUGGUGUGGCAUUCUCUCCUGUAUUUCAUUCUCU